rnacentral:rRNA from 1 species
AUGAAGCCGGAAUUGCUGUAAUGGCAGGUCAGCAUACUGCCGUGAAUACGUUCCCGGGCCUUGUACACACCGCCCGUCACACCAUGAGAGUUGGGAAUACCCGAAGCCUGUGAGCUAACUUUUAGAGGCAGCAGUCGAAGGUAGAAUCAAUGAUUGGGGUGAAGUCGUAACAAGGUAAC